rnacentral:tRNA from 1 species
GAGUUAAUAGCAUAAGUUAUAAUUGCGUUGAAUUGCAGAUUCAAAGGUGUUUUUACUUAACUCU